GACGUACCACCCAACCGUUAUUCGGAAUCACUGGGCUUAAAGGGUCCGUAGGCGGCGAAGAAAGUUGGGUGUGAAAUACCUCAGCUCAACUGAGGAAUUGCGCUCAAAACUACUUUGCUCGAGAAAGACAGAGGUGAGCGGAACUGAUGGUGGAGCGGUGAAAUGCAUUGAUAUCAUCAGGAACACCGGUGGCGAAAGCGGCUCACUGGGUCUUUUCUGACGCUGAUGGACGAAAGCUAGGGGAGCGAACGGG
rnacentral:rRNA from 1 species